rnacentral:rRNA from 1 species
AUGCAAGUCGAGCGACAUAGCGGCAGACGAGAGAGUAAUAGUAAGGAACUUGCCCCCGAGUGAAGGAUAGCCAUCCGAAAGGAUGGGUAAUCCUGCAUAAUAUCGAAAGAUCAAAGCCUUCGGGCGCUUGGGGAGAGGCCUUACUCCUAUCAGCUUGUUGGUGAGGUAAUGGCUCACCAAGGCGAUGACGGGUAGCUGGUCUGAGAGGAUGAUCAGCCUCGAUGGGACUGAGACACGGCCCAUACUCC